GAUCAUGGCUCAGGAUGAACGCUAGCUACAGGCUUAACACAUGCAAGUCGAGGGGCAUCAGGAAGAAAGCUUGCUUUCUUUGCUGGCGACCGGCGCACGGGUGAGUAACACGUAUCCAACCUACCCUUUACUCAGGGAUAGCCUUUCGAAAGAAAGAUUAAUACCCGAUGGCAUAAUGAUUCCGCAUGGUUUCAUUAUUAAAGGAUUCCGGUAAAGGAUGGGGAUGCGUUCCAUUAGGUUGUUGGCG
rnacentral:rRNA from 1 species